GUAUUUUACUAUAUGCCACUUGUAAUGAUGUAUCACAUUAGUGAUAGCAAUUCUAAUAAUGUAGUCGAGUAUUGUGUUGGGGGAUAGUCGUUUUUUCUGUUUGUACCGGCUAGUGUUUUGUCUUUGUACUGCUAAUGGUUUAUGUUGCGUUUUACACUUAAAGCAUUGUAUUUGUGUUAUUUCCCUUUCAUUUAUGUUGCUGUCUCUCACGAUGCAGAUAUUAUUUUUCUGGUUUCUGCUGCUGUUACGGACCUCUUGUCUAUGAGGGUCUCUUGGAAACAGCGGGUAGGGAUAAGGUCUGCGUACACUCUACCCUGCCUUGAUCCUAUUAGUGGGAUUCAAUUGAAUGGUUGCUGUUGUUGUUGUUGUAGUUCUAAUGAUGUAUCCUUUUUUUUAAGUCUAAUGACGUAUCUUGUUAACGCUUGACAAGUGUUUAGCUACCUGUGGUGGAAGAAUUUCAUGUCUGGGAGAGAAUUCUACCUUGUGUCUUACCGUUAUAAUUCCAAAACAUUGUUUUGAAAUGUUUCGACAUGCAUCGACAAAGAAUAACAUUAACAACAUAUAUAAAGUAUAAUAUAACUAUUAGACAAAAUUCACAAGUUUGAUGUUCCAUGGAGGUAUUUCAAUAGUACCUUACCACACUCUUCCCCAGUAUCCGAAUUAAUGCAUCUGUAUUCAUUGGAAGAAUGACUUAGAAUAUUAAUACGGGAUUUAUGAGUGUCAUUGUUCUUUUUUUUUAAUCAAGUAUAUGAGUAUCUGUGCCUUGUUUUAUAAGUUUGAGAUGGGCUGACAGCAAUCAUUUCUUCAAGAAGUUCCACUUUCGAAUAAGACAUGACAAGUUAUUCUGCUUCCUAUUUACUUCCUCUUCCUCUUAUUUGUCAAUCUGCUUAGUGAAUAGCAGACAGAAGACAUUCUCUGGACCAUCACAAAGUAGCUCAUCGAGUCGUUUGUUUUCUACUUGUUGCACUUGUCACGGUUCUAGAGUAUCUUUGAUAGAUAAUGAAAUUCUCAGAAUUGCCAGCAGUUGAUGCCACGCGAUAGACCUUGGUAUAACCUGUGCUCUGUUUCAAUAUUCUGCCGUUGAAGCUGUCUAGGGUGUCUUUGAUAGAUAAUGGAAUUCUCAGAAUUGCCAGCAGUUAAUGCCACGUGAUAGACCUUGGUAUAACCUGUGCUCUGUUUCAAUAUUCUGCCGUUGAAGCUUGUGUGAGCAGAUAUUCUGAAGUAUGAAUUUCUGGCUAGUUACAGAAAACUAUCAAAGAGAAGUAUUAGAUGGAGCUUUGUUGAUUGGUAUUGUUUAUACAAUUUUCUUAUACAUAAUCUGGAUCCUAUCACACCUAAAUUGCAAACUUCUAUAUCGACAUAACCAAGUUACGUUUGAGAAGUAUUACCACCAAAGAGAGGGAGGAGGGAGGAGAGAGAGUGCACAGACUAUAAGGAAGUUCAAUUAUUUAGGAUUUUGUGCUAUGCAGGAAACAUUAGGAUUAUUUGUGUAAUCUGAUUGCUGUUAAUGCAAAAUUACUUAUAAAGUUGAGCUGGAAAAUAUGUCAUUUCAUCUCGUGCUCUUUAUUUUUUGCCCUUCUCUAACAAGCUGCAGGAACUAUUUGGCUAAUCUUAUGGUGCUUUAAACAUGCAAUUUCGUGUGAAGGCGGAUGCUGUUGUUUACCUGGUGGAUGCCUAUGACAAAGAAAGGUUUGCUGAAUCUAAGAAAGAGCUGGAUGCUCUCCUCUCUGAUGAGUCAUUGGCUAGCGUUCCUUUUCUUAUACUGGGUAACAAGAUAGACAUCUCGUAUGCUGCAUCAGAAGAUGAAUUGCGUUACCACAUGGGGCUAACGGGCAUCACAACUGGCAAGGGAAAGGUAAACCUGGCAGAAUCCAAUGUUCGACCCCUUGAGGUAUUCAUGUGCAGCAUAGUCCGCAAAAUGGGAUAUGGAGAAGGCUUCAAAUGGGUCUCUCAAUACAUUAAAUAACAGAUGUAGGAAGUGAGCUAUUGUCAUUCUGUUUUGCUUGUGCUUUUGUACUGGAUAUGAGUUGGAACGUUUGUUUCAAAGCGCAGUUGAUUACGCUUCUCUUGUUCUAGCUUUCAAGGAAUAUGGUGAACGAAAGGAUGUUCAAGAUUUAUUUGCUACAUAACAAAAUGUUUUACUGAAAAACUCAACCAUAAUUCCCAUCUCUAGAAGUGGUGCUGUUUUUGAUCAAUUGUAAAGCAAAAUCACAAAAGUUUUG
rnacentral:lncRNA from 1 species